UUAGAGGUUCGAAGGCGAUCAGAUACCGCCCUAGUUCUAACCAUAAACGAUGCCAGCCAGCGAUCCGCCGAAGUUCCUCCGAUGACUCGGCGGGCAGCUUCCGGGAAACCAAAGCUUUUGGGUUCCGGGGGAAGUAUGGUUGCAAAGCUGAAACUUAAAGGAAUUGACGGAAGGGCACCACCAGGAGUGGAGCCUGCGGCUUAAUUUGACUCAACACGGGAAACCUCACCAGGCCCGGACACCGGAAGGAUUGACAGAUUGAGAGCUCUUUCUUGAUUCGGUGGGUGGUGGUGCAUGGCCGUUCUUAGUUGGUGGAGCGAUUUGUCUGGUUAAUUCCGGUAACGAACGAGACUCUAGCCUGCUAAAUAGACGAUUUCCGGUAUCCACAAUAGUGCUACCGGCGAAAUCAAUAUCUUCUUAGAGGGACAGGCGGCUUUCAGCCGCACGAAACUGAGCAAUAACAGGUCUGUGAUGCCCUUAGAUGUCCUGGGCCGCACGCGCGCUACACUGAAGGAAUCAGCGUGUACACCCUGGCCGAAAGGCUCGGGCAACCCGUUGAACCUCCUUCGUGCUAGGGAUUGGGGCUUGCAAUUGUUCCCCAUGAACGAGGAAUUCCCAGUAAGCGCGAGUCAUAAGCUCGCGUUGAUUACGUCCCUGCCCUUUGUACACACCGCCCGUCGCUACUACCGAUUGAAUGAUUUAGUGAGGUCUUCGGACUGGUGCGCGGCGACCGCCUGCGCGGCCGCCGAUGCCACCGGGAAGAUGACCGAACUUGAUCAUUUAGAGGAAGUAAAAGUCGUAACAA
rnacentral:rRNA from 1 species